GCGCCUUCUCCCCUCUGUGGUCCCAGCCUCAGUUUCCCCACGUGCCAGUCCGUGAUGACAUGAAUGACCAAUACAGAGUGACCUGAGAGUCCCUUCCUCAGUUUUGUCCCCUGUAGAAUGGAAGCGGUGGCUGUGCCUCCCUUGGUCUGUAAUGCGCCUUACAGAAGACACAGGAUAUGAAGUGCUUAGCACACACUUGGCACCAGUGAUUGGUGUCCCCAUGAGAAGAUGCGUGAACAGAGGCCCACGCACAGAGAUGUCCCUGUGAAGACAGGCAGACCCUGGAGCAAAGCAGCUACAGAUCCAGAAACGCCAAUGACUGCCAGCAAG